CGGCGGACGGGUGAGUAACACGUGGGUAACCUGCCUGUAAGACUGGGAUAACUCCGGGAAACCGGGGCUAAUACCGGAUGCUUGAUUGAACCGCAUGGUUCAAUCAUAAAAGGUGGCUUUCAGCUACCACUUGCAGAUGGACCCGCGGCGCAUUAGCUAGUUGGUGAGGUAACGGCUCACCAAGGCGACGAUGCGUAGCCGACCUGAGAGGGUGAUCGGCCACACUGGGACUGAGACACGGCCCAGACUCCUACGGGAGGCAGCAGUGGUCA
rnacentral:rRNA from 1 species